UACGGAGGAUCCAAGCGUUAUCCGGAUUUAUUGGGUUUAAAGGGUGCGUAGGCGGCCUUAUAAGUCAGUGGUGAAAGCCCAUCGCUCAACGAUGGAACUGCCAUUGAUACUGUAAGGCUUGAGUACAGACGAGGUAGGCGGAAUUGAUGGUGUAGCGGUGAAAUGCAUAGAUACCAUCAAGAACACCGAUUGCGUAGGCAGCUUACUAGGCUGUAACUGACGCUGAGGCACGAAAGCGUGGGGAGCGAACAGG
rnacentral:rRNA from 1 species